ensembl:lncRNA
UGUUUGUGCGUCAAAUCAUUUUCAAAGUAGGGAUACGUUGAAUCCACUGCAGCCUCGAACCUCGCCAGCAGAGCUCACCGUCACUGAAGCCUCGAGUAAUGAACCCAUUUUCGAAACAUUGGCUCAACUGGUUCAAUGCGUUAUAAAAGCUUCAUUUGCCCAUCACUACUUUCCAGCAUACAAUAUACAUACAAGCUCUUUAUUCAAGUAACACGCAAUCUCACCCUCUCACCAUGGCUCUGUACUGCAGACUAAAAGAGUCAAGGUGGGGCUGGGGGGUUUAAAUAUGGUGUCAGGAAACACCUGCUGCCACUGAUUGGCCCAAAUUGGGCAAAACCAUUUUCCCUUGUGUCAAGGGAGGACACUGAAUUCUUCAAUCAUUGACAUUGGACAUUAAUGAGCAACAAGCCUAAAUGCACUAUUGAAAAUCAAUGAUCUCAAAGAUGAAAUGAACUUUAACAUGCAUGCUGUAUAUUUCAUGAGUUUAUUCAUGGUUGACCUGCAAUAUGCCACAGUAUUAUAAUCCCCCUGUUGAUUGAGCCUGUCUAGUGGGAGGGGCCAUGGGGUAUAAAACGGGUGAGCUGCUGUCCUUCUGACAGUCUGCUGUAUGCUGUUGCCAGAAGAGGUUGUCUGUGUUGAGCUGGGUGCUCAGCGCUCUACGAGAUGCUAAAUAUCUACUGAGGUUAAAGACUUUUUGAAGUAAAGAGGAGCAUUUCAUCUGAACCUGAUGUCUAUCAUGGAUAUUUAACUGCAGUUUUGUGAGUAUCCCAACUUGACCAUGAAGAUGAACUGCAAACUGUAAGUCGUUAAUUUCUCAUUGCUCUUAGGCACAUUGAUGUAUUUUGGCUUCCUGGUGAGUUUACCUGAAGGUUGAUCUGAGUAUUAAGGAUUUUUUAUUGGUUCAUGGGUUACUUAGGUGUUUGGUUUAUGUUGGUUUUAAUGAUUUGUUAAAAUGGUUACAGGCUCCAAGUUAUUGUUGUAAGCUGGAGUAAUGGGUUGGGUUCUGAUGCCUUCAGUCUUCUUUCCAGCUACUCUCCUGAGCUCUGCAUCUUCAUCACAUGAGUGUUGCUUUACUGAUGACGGUGUGGUCUGAGUGAGCAGAGGUGCAUACUGGGAUACAGAGCUGUCUGAAUUCUACAGGUCUGUAGACACGUCCCCUCAGGGGAAACCAAGCGUUUGAGGAACCGUCCUGACGUCAGUUACAUGGACUAGAAUGUUCUUUAAGAUGGAGAGAGGGAUUCAGAAGGAGAAACACCCGGGGGAGAUGAGGGGGCUCCUCAUCUCAACGACUAAUACACAUCUUCAGUCUGACACAGAGAAUCAUGGAACACAUUCGACAGCCCCUCCAGGCAUCGUGACUCCUCAGGAACAGUUUCAUUUCCAAGAAGGUCUUAUUUGGGGCCAUCCCCAUAUGGAUCCUGCUCCUCAAGAGCCACCCCCCCUCCACUGGGUGGUCUUCUGAACAGAUGACCUCCUUCCUGUCCUCAGGCUGACUAAAGCUGCACCAUUUGCAUCUGUGAAGGCCCCUCAUUCAGGAAACCACUGGACUACAAAGACAUGACUUCAGAGACCUUGAAUCAACCUGGGACACAUUUUGGAGACGCCAAGCAUAAUCCAUCACCAAUGUGGGACGCCACUGAAGAAUGUUGUACAUAAUUUACGUCUCUGGAGACAUUGGUUGUUCUGUUCUGGGUGCCCUGGCAGGAGAGCUGGGGUUGGAUGAUGGAAUGCUAUUUGGCAUCAGGUUUUUACCCUUCAUGAUUGUUUGGCCUUUAUGGCUCAGUGGUGUGUGUGUGUGUGUGUGUGUGUGGGUUUGACAUGAGAUGGAUGAUUUUUGACCAUCGCUAGGGUUCUACUGUGUCUCCAACUCACACCUGGCAUGGGGUUCUACGUGCGUGUUCUGUGUGUGUCCGGCUUGCUUUGACAGUGAUAAUGUUCAUACGGAGGUCUGUGUGAUGGCUGGGGCUAUUGGAAUGGUCAAAUAAAUCAUACCUGAUGGUCGGCCGGCCUCACGUUUACUUAAGGGCCUCCCAGAGCGAAGCUCCGGAGCGAUAUCAACACACUGGGCAGGAAGGAGAGUACCCAACUUAAGUGUAAAAGGAUGGAAGCGGCGUGUUCAGAUCAGUGACUUCAAACUAGGACUACACCAAUCAGGAUCAAUGGAGGAUGGACACCUAAAGGCAAUUCACAAGGAGACUCUGAAGUCGGAAAGGGUCCUCAAUGGAUAUUCAAGAUGACCUUCAGACCUGUAAUGAGACGGCUCUUCCUACCUGGCUGGAUUGAUGGUGAGCCCUGAGGAUCUUGUCUUGCUCUGGCUGAACUGUAUUUGUUUCGACAGGACUAGCUGAACGAUCGGUUCUGAUUUAAGGGAACCAAAUCUGGGAACUCCAACUAGUGCGCUCUUCGAGCUGAAGUUGUGCUCUUCAGCUGAGGAGGCAAGGAAACCUUCACUGGGGCUUCAAGGUGUAAAGAGGAGAAUGUUUCAAAGUGUUCCAUGGUACUCUGAUGAGGACCGUUGUUGUGUUCCACUGGCUGAGAGGAAGAACCCUCACAUCUUCCUCUUGGCCUUUCUCCUCUUGGAAUCCUGGCGCCAUCUUGAAGGAUAUUCCAGCUCAUGCAACUGAUGUCAAGACGGAUUCUCAAACACUUGGUUUCUCCUGAGGCGCGUGUCUAUAGUAAUGAAGACUUGAGACGGCACUGUAUCCCAGCAUGCAUCUCUGCUCACUCAGACCACACCCCCAUGAGUAGGAUGCAUCAUUCUAGUGAUUGAGUUGUAGAGUUUUAUAAGUAACGAGGGAGCAGACAAAGGUGAUUAGAACACAAUGGCAUGUCAAGUCUUUAAACCAUGAAGAUGGUUGGCUAGUUCAGGAAUUGGGCUUCUAUUUACUAUGGGCAGUCCUUUCGCUCAGAUGCCCAGUUCUCACUGGACGUGUACAUGUGUUGGCUGGGUGGCAUGAUUUGCUGUUGGUGAUGAGGCGGUCAAGGUGACGCUUGGCUAUGGUCGGCUCUCUGUGAGCACAACAUUUAGAUUUGCUCUGUAUGGUUUAUACCCUGAAUAAUCUAGAUAAUUGUAAAAUGUAGACACUGUUUUGUAGUGAAUGAUUCCUUUGUUCUUAGGCAAGGAUUUGAGGUUUAAAGUUGUUGUGGGACGUACUUGGUAGUAUGGUUCUUCGUACGGUUUUGAGUGAUAUAACGUGUACACACUGGGUGCAUAAUCAUGUAAUGACCAACAGCAACAAACAGAUCUCCUCAAGGUAAGUCUGUUGGCUGUUUUUUAAUGAAGACCAUCGCUGGACUUCAGGAUCUUCCUCCGUUCAGCUCAAGGUGAGGCGCUGGUUAUGUUUUUUCUUUGGUUGGUUCCCGGCCGGAAUGUUCGGAUUCCUGUCGGACGGUUUGUCCUUCCCGCCGUGGAAGUUUCUGAGUGCGGUCACUUGAUUUAGUCCCAAUGGUUGGCAUAGAACGUUGUAGUCUUGACAGCAAUAAGAAACCACUUGGCAGUUAGUUGGACGGGAGUCCCCUGAGGGAAUCUGGCUGAACGUUCUAGAUUGUAUUUGCGUAACCUCGAGCCGUUGCCAACGGAAACAAUUUUUCAGUCGGUUUCCAUUGGGAAUUGUUGCCCCUUAUCUUAAACAACUUAAGUUUGAGAUUAAAUGCAUACUAACACGUACGUUGUACAAUAUGUUAAUUUUCGAUCGUUGCGCCAUACUUUUAACCACGUUGACAGGACUCUCGCUGCGUACAAAACUGCCUUCUACUUGCGGGCCCAUUUUUGAAAUCCGUGAAGGCUGAAAAUCAUUUCUAGGUGGAAGACAAUUUGACAUUUCUUCAACGGAACACAGCACCUGAAUAUGGCUAAGAUGAGUAAAUUUGAUUAAAUAUCGAUACUAGUGUUUGUUAGUUCAGCUUUUGUAUGUUCUAAAAAUCUGCUGUCAUUAAUUGCCACAAGUUAAACCCUACCCAAUCGAAUGACGUUAAACGACUUUGGUGCAGAGUUACCAACUUGAUGAUAUCAAAGCUAAAAUAAUGGCCAUCCUUCCCACAUGUUACAGUAGAAGAUACUCUAGAACUGUAAAAGGUUAAAAAACUAACAUGUAGUUUGUCCCAAGGUGUCUGCCUCCUCACCAAGAGCAAGACCUCCACCUCCUCACCCAGAGCCAGACCUCCACCUCCUCACCCAGAGCCAGACCUCCACCUCCUCACCCAGAGCCAGACCUCCACCUCCUCACCCAGAGCCAGACCUCCACCUCCUCACCCAGAGCCAGACCGCCACCUCCUGUCAGAAGUCCUCCAGAACAGGUCAGUGCUCAGGCUGAGAGGCUGAGGACCAGAGGCUUGUGGUGCCAGGGUGGACCGGAGACUGAGGCUGGAGACCAGGGGCCUGCAGCACCGGACCAGAGGACCAGGAAUCCAUGGCUGAUGGAGGAGCUGAUGGUUGAGCCGGGCUGAUGGAGGAGCCGUGCGGAAGGAGCUGAUGGAGGAGUCAUGCUGAAGGCCCUGCCUGGUGAAGGACGUCUGUCGUGGGACCAGGACUCUGUCAGAGGAGAGCUGCUGGAGGAGCUGAGACGCUGGAGGACGACUAGGAAUCGACCAACAAGGAGUCCUCGUAACUUUGUAUUUUCUUGCGUAGUUGACUUAAAGACCUGUUACUUUGACAUGCGUUAACAAACUACCGCUGUGUUUUCUUACU